rfam:Triticum aestivum genome assembly, contig: Triticum_aestivum_CS42_TGACv1_scaffold_306666_4AS
UAACUACAACCUCGGUACGGAAAUACUUGUCGGAGAAAUGGAGAAAAAUGGAUGUAUCUAGAACUAAAAUACGUCUAGAUACAUCAAUUUCUUCAACAAGUAUUUCCGGACGGAGGGAUUAUAUG